AUUGAACGCUGGCGGCAUGCUUUACACAUGCAAGUCGAACGGUAACAGGCCGCAAGGUGCUGACGAGUGGCGAACGGGUGAGUAAUGCAUCGGAACGUGCCCAGUCGUGGGGGAUAACGCAGCGAAAGCUGUGCUAAUACCGCAUACGAUCUAUGGAUGAAAGCGGGGGACCGUAAGGCCUCGCGCGAUUGGAGCGGCCGAUGUCAGAUUAGCUAGUUGGUGGGGUAAAGGCCCACCAAGGCGACGAUCUGUAGCUGGUCUGAGAGGACGACCAGCCACACUGGGACUGAGACACGGCCCAGACUCCUACGGGAGGCAGCAGUGGGGAAUUUUGGACAAUGGGCGCAAGCCUGAUCCAGCAAUGCCGCGUGCAGGAAGAAGGCCUUCGGGUUGUAAACUGCUUUUGUACGGAACGAAACGGUCUGGGUUAAUACCCUGGGCUAAUGAC
rnacentral:rRNA from 1 species